rnacentral:rRNA from 1 species
UACGAAGGGGGCUAGCGUUGUUCGGAAUUACUGGGCGUAAAGCGCGUGUAGGCGGGUCUUUAAGUCAGGGGGGAAAUGCCAAGGCUCAACCUUGGAACUGCCUUUGAUACUGGAGACCUUGAGUCCGGGAGAGGUGAGUGGAAUUGCGAGUGUAGAGGUGAAAUUCGUAGAUAUUCGCAAGAACACCAGUGGCGAAGGCGGCUCACUGGCCCGGAACUGACGCUGAGACGCGAAAGCGUGGGGAGCAAACAGG